UACGUAGGGUGCAAGCGUUAAUCGGAAUUACUGGGCGUAAAGGGUGCGCAGGCGGACAUGUAAGUUAGAUGUGAAAUCCCCGAGCUCAACUUGGGAACAGCAUUUAAGACUGCAUAUCUAGAGUUUACCAGAGGGGGGUAGAAUUCCAAGUGUAGCAGUGAAAUGCGUAGAGAUUUGGAGGAAUACCAGAGGCGAAGGCGUCCCCCUGGGGUAGAACUGACGCUCAGGCACGAAAGCGUGGGUAGCAAACAGG
rnacentral:rRNA from 1 species